rnacentral:rRNA from 1 species
CCAGACUCCUACGGGAGGCAGCAGUGGGGAAUAUUGCACAAUGGGCGAAAGCCUGAUGCAGCAACGCCGCGUGAAGGAAGAAGGUCUUCGGAUCGUAAACUUCUGUCCUUGGGGAAGAUAAUGACGGUACCCUUGGAGGAAGCCCCGGCUAACUCCGUGCCAGCAGCCGCGGUAAUACGGAGGGUGCAAGCGUUACUCGGAAUCACUGGGCGUAAAGAGCGCGUAGGCGGGAUAGCAAGUCAGAUGUGAAAUCCUAUGGCUUAACCAUAGAACUGCAUUUGAAACUGUUAUUCUAGAGUAUGGGAGAGGUAGGUGGAAUUCUUGGUGUAGGGGUAAAAUCCGUAGAGAUCAAGAGGAAUACUCAUUGCGAAGGCGACCUGCUAGAACAUAACUGACGCUGAUGCACGAAAGCGUGGGGAGCAAACAGGAUUAGAUACCCUCGUA